UACAGAGGGGGCAAGCGUUGUUCGGAAUUACUGGGCGUAAAGGGCGCGUAGGCGGCCUUCUAAGUCGAACGUGAAAUCCCCGGGCUCAACCCGGGAACUGCGUCCGAUACUGGAAGGCUUGAAUCCGGGAGAGGGAUGCGGAAUUCCAGGUGUAGCGGUGAAAUGCGUAGAUAUCUGGAGGAACACCGGUGGCGAAGGCGGCAUCCUGGACCGGCAUUGACGCUGAGACGCGAAAGCGUGGGGAGCGAACAGG
rnacentral:rRNA from 1 species